AAUAGAUACCCUGGUAGUCCACCCCGUAAACGUUGGGAACUAGUCGUGGGGUCCAUUCCACGGAUUCCGUGACGCAGCUAACGCAUUAAGUUCCCCGCCUGGGGAGUACGGCCGCAAGGCUAAAACUCAAAGGAAUUGACGGGGACCCGCACAAGCGGCGGAGCAUGCGGAUUAAUUCGAUGCAACGCGAAGAACCUUACCAAGGCUUGACAUACACGAGAACGGGCCAGAAAUGGUCAACUCUUUGGACACUCGUGAACAGGUGGUGCAUGGUUGUCGUCAGCUCGUGUCGUGAGAUGUUGGGUUAAGUCCCGCAACGAGCGCAACCCUCGUUCUAUGUUGCCAGCACGUAAUGGUGGGAACUCAUGGGAUACUGCCGGGGUCAACUCGGAGGAAGGUGGGGAUGACGUCAAAGUCAUCAUGCCCCUUAUGUCUUGGGCUUCACGCAUGCUACAAUGGCCGGUACAAAGGGCUGCAAUACCGUGAGGUGGAGCGAAUCCCAAAAAGCCGGUCCCAGUUCGGAUUGAGGUCUGCAACUCGA
rnacentral:rRNA from 1 species